rnacentral:rRNA from 1 species
ACCAGACUUGCCCUCCAAUAGAUCCUCGUUAAAGGAUUUAAAUUGUACCCAUUCCGAUGGCGGGCCUCGUAGAGAACCGCCUCGUUAUUUUUCGUCACUACCUCCCCGUGCCGGGAGUGGGUAAUUUGCGUGCCUGCUGCCUUCCUUGGAUGUGGUAGCCAUUUCUCAGGCUCCCUCUCCGGAGUCGAACCCUUAUUCUCCGUUACCCGUUACAACCAUGGUAGGCGUGUAAACUACCAUCUAAAGUUGAUAAGGCAGACAUUUGAAAGAUACGUCGCCGGUACGAGACCGUGCGAUCUGCAAAGUUAUUCAGAUUCACCAAUUGGCGGGCCCGAAGGCCCGAUUGGUUUUGUUCUAAUAAAUGCGCUCCUUCCAAAAGGUCAGAGCUUUCAUGCGUGUAUUAGCUCUAGAAUUACCACAGUUAUCCAAGUAGGAAAGUAAGAUCCAGUAAACUAUGGCUGUUGUAAUGAGCCAUUCGCGGCUUUACCAUUCUUAGGCUUGUGCUUAGACAUGCAUGGCUUAAUCUUUGAGACAAGCAUAUGACUACUGGCAGGAUCAACCAG